rnacentral:rRNA from 1 species
GACGAACCGAGCGAACGUUGUUCGGAAUCACUGGGCUUAAAGGGCGCGUAGGCGGGCAUCAUAGUCUGUGGUGAAAUCCGGCAGCUUAACUGUCGAAUUGCCAUGGAUACUGGGUGUCUCGAGGGAGGCAGGGGUGCGCGGAACUAAUGGUGGAGCGGUGAAAUGCGUUGAUAUCAUUAGGAACUCCGGUGGCGAAGGCGGCGCACUGGUCCUUUUCUGACGCUGAGGCGCGAAAGCCAGGGGAGCGAACGGG